rnacentral:rRNA from 1 species
CACGUAGGCACCAAGCGUUGUCCGGAUUUAUUGGGCGUAAAGAGCUCGUAGGCGGUUCGGUAAGUCGGGUGUGAAAACUCUGGGCUCAACCCAGAGCCGCCACCUGAUACUGCUGUGACUAGAGUGCGGUAGGGGAGCGGGGAAUUCCUGGUGUAGCGGUGAAAUGCGCAGAUAUCGGGAGGAACACCAAUGGCGAAGGCAGCUCGCUGGGACGUUACUGACGCUGAGACGCGAAAGCGUGGGGAGCAAACAGG